UCCCUACGGGGUGCACCAGGCGCGAAAACUUUACAAUGCUGGCAACAGCGAUAAGGGAACCUCGAGUGCCAGGUUACAAAUCUGGCUGUCGAGAUGCCUAAAAAGCACAGCAGCUGCGCGGGU
rnacentral:rRNA from 1 species